UUUUUCUUCUAAUUUUUCUUGUAUUAAGAUGGCACUAACACAAUCUUUCUAUUGCCUAUAAACAGUCAAGUACAUCAAUGAUUUCUUCUGUUUGAGCUAGUACAUCAUGUUUACACCAAAAGGAGAUCUUUCAUCUCUCCACCAUCUCUGUUGCAUUGCCAUCCCUGUUCCAGCUGCUUAGAACUCCUUUAAUGGUCCCAGGUCUUACCCACUUGAUCCUCUUCAUGAACAUUCUCCAUAGUUGCUCUGUCAAUUUUGCAAUGCAAGAAAAGGUGGUUGAUUGUCUUUGUUUGCUCCCCACACAAAACAAAUCUGGAAGCCAACAUUUGUGAACUUAUCAUUCGUCCACAAACUAAGUUCCUAAAGGGGAAGUGGGAUGUUUAUACAAGUCAGAGUAAAUUAAUAAAGUCUAAUUGUAAAUUUGCAAAUGCAGCAUCAGAUAAUGAUUUUAAAGUCAAAAAACACUGAGAAAUAUCAAGAUUAAAAGAACUUGAUGUGAAAAGCGAGUAGUGCAGUGCACACUUCUUUGAGCCGAAGCGCACGGCUUAUAGAAAAUAAAGAAGUACCAAACAUAUAUCAAUGUAGUUAUUUUGUAGCAGUAGUCAUUGAUGUAUUAGUGUAAGUAAAUACAGUCCAUUUAAUCGCAGAAACUAUCAAAAUCAAAGAACUUCAUUCUCGAUUCGACGAGAAUUCUUAUGAA